rnacentral:tRNA from 1 species
GGUUCCAUGGUGUAGCGGUUAGUACUCAGGACUGUGAAUCCUGCGACGGGAGUUCAAAUCUCCCUGGGAUCU